UUCAAAAAUCACAGAUGCAUGGUUCUAUUGUUGUGAUGACACAAUUAAAUUCUCUCACCCAACAUCUUCACCUUAAAGGUCCAGUGUGUAACGUUUAGGAGGGGUUUAUUUGCUGAAAAGUAAUAUACUACUCAUAAGUGUGUAACAUAAAAGUCGUUCGUGGGGGUAACAUUUAAAGAUAGGGGUAAGAAAUCUACAGUUGCACCAGUAGAUGUCACUAUUUCUCACAUACUGGACCUUUUACCUUCUUAAGUAAAUCUUUCAAAAAACAGUUUGCAGUUGUGAGGACUGGCAAAAAUGUCGUCCCAACGAUGGUUUGAGCUAAGAAUCUGCCCUCAAUCGUACAAAGACACACAUGUACUGCACAGUAGGGACAGAAACAUUUAACAUACAUUUCUUGUGUCAUUGUCUACAUUCAACAGCAAAUUUACACUUACAAUGAUACUUAAAUUCAUAGUGUACUGUAGCAAUUCUGUUAGUUUGUGCGUUGUCUGACAGGGUUACAGUUUUACUGUUGGGGUAACAGUGCCACCUGGUGGGUGGCCUGUAAUUGUACAAAACGUGUUUUCUUUUAAUAAAAUGAACUAUAUUUGCACAAACAUACAACUUGAUCUCACCAUCUCACACUGGUAUACUGGUCCUCAUUCAUUCAUCUCCUGGUGUAGGUGUGGGUGUGUUGUGCGGUCAGCUGUAUGCAGCAGGAGGACACGAUGGACCUCUAGUGAGGAAGAGUGUCGAGGUUUACGACCCACAGACCAACACAUGGAAACUUGUCUGUGACAUGAACAUGUGUAGGAGGAAUGCAGGUGUUUGUGCCAUUAAUGGACUGCUGUACGUGAUUGGGGGAGAUGACGGCUCGUGUAACCUCUCCUCAGUAGAGUUUUACAACCCUGCCAUUGAUAAGUGGAGUCUCAUUCCCACCAAUAUGAGCAACGGACGAAGCUACGCAGGGGUUGCAGUGAUUGACAAGCCGUUAUGACUGCAGGCGUCGCAGAGCCUCAGCUUUGCAUCUACAUCGAGUGACUCACAGGAGAAGUAAUAAACUCCACGCUCUCAAUCCUCAGCUCACAGAUGGACCGUGACGAGGGGGCAGGGGGGAGGGCGGAGGGGCAUAUGGCGCUCACCCACGACCCAAUUCUGGUGCCCCCCCACGAGCCACUUCCUUUACAGACCCUCGAGAUCUCUUCUGCUGCACUAGAUACAAGAAGCAAUAGCUGCAGGAGAGCAGGUUUAAAGUGACAUUGUCUUAGUGAGAAGUUGUUUUAUUUUUUGGGUUUUUUUUUGUCUUCACAUGCCAAGCACAUAAGCAGCUGUAUCAGCUGAUAGAAGACUUCCACGCUGACUUUAGUGAAGAGCUUCACCUGUGAUGGACUGCUUUAUAACACCAGCUCAGUCACAUGACUGCACAACCAUCGCGGUUUGUUACGUUUCAGGAAGACUAUCCUGGAAGUGAGCCAAUUUAUUUUUUUUUUAAUAUGCAUAUAUGUGAUGAGACUUUGAACCGUUGCUACAAUAUAAAGAGAGAGUGUGAGAAAAGCACCAAGCAAACUGAGUGCUGUGCCGACCGUUCUCAACCCAAGGACCUAGAGAGCUGCAAGAUCUUUUAAAGAAUGUUGAAAGCAUAUCUUAUAUGCAAAGUUAAUGUCAUAUUUAAUCUUUUUUGGGAUUGUCUUCAGAGUCUGAAAAGUCAUUUCUGCGGCUUCAGAGAUCCCAGACUGGACCUGGAUCAAAGCAGACGGGAGUCGCGGUGCCUUCAAACGGGACUCGGGGAACACAUGACAAAUUUAAUGACCAACUCCAUACGACUAAAAUUGCAAUAUAUUACUUUUUUCAUUAACUUUCUGCCACAUACAAUUCUGAACUCCUCCGCUCUCCCCCUCUCUUUUCAGUCAGCUACGGUGGCCCGCGCACACCAUGAAGGACGUAAACGCACUUUUCUCACAACGUUCUCCUCGCUUGCAAGCGACCGCUAACGGUUAACGCUUGCCAAUCAUGACAAGUUGCGUUCCAUUCAGAACUUGUGAGUCGUUACAGUUUCCGACAAAGUUAAUGUGAAACAUAUAAGUGUAAGUAACGGUAAAAGUAGCCGAGUGUCGGGGUCUUCCGACGACAACUGGAACGUGCACCAUAAACACACUCAAACCGGUCAAAAACCCUUGCAAACUUGGGAUUAGAUUAGAGGUUUUUUGACCUGUGGGAACGUCUUAUUAGACCAGAGUGGACUCACAGACAUGGAUGUUGGCCUUUAUGCUCAGUGAGCCAUACAUUGAGAUGCACAAAUCCCUUUAAACACCCUAAAAUGUGACUGGGCUCGUAAAAAAAAACCAAAACAAAACACAGUAAAAACUCGACUCCUGUUUGAAGGCACCACUUAUUGUUGGUGAUCACACUACUGAUGCACUCAACACUUGCACUGACUGAUGUGGACUCACUCAUUCACUCACUCACUCACUCACUCUCUCUGACUGAGGAGGAACUGGAAAACUGACCUGCUGACAGAUUUGUUCUCGUUUAAAGUCGACGCUUUCAUCAGAGAUUGUAAAAGAAAUGUGCCAGUUAUUAUGAUCAGAAUCAGUAAAGUUUGUUUUUUUAAAAUCACUGUUUCUGCUCUGUAGAAAUUAUAUUGUAAGAAAAAACUGCAGAUUGAAGAUUUUGUAUUUAUUAUUUGGUUCCAGUUGCUUCGUUCUUUUUUUAAUGUUAUUUCAUUUUCUCCUCCAGAUAACGUCACAUUUGUUCAAAUGACGUUGGGAUUCUUUUAGAUGUAGCGUAUGCCGCAGACUGAUUGGUGCUAUAGCUUUAAUUCUGUGAAGAAAAGACAUUUUACUGAAGUUGUUGGAUGGAGUUAUUUUUUUCUUUUUUCUCAGCCAAUAUUUGUCUUCAAUCUUCCAGAAAAAUCACAAAACAAUGACAACAACCUGCUGCCAGUUUCAAAGCCCCCUCAACAAAGCAGUAUAUUAAACCCUUUAUAGAUUA